rnacentral:misc_RNA from 1 species
UUCAGGAAAAAAGAAGAGCUAGGACAAAGUUGAAGCAGACGGAGUUGGAUUGUGAGAUUUUAAAGAGAUGUUGUGAGACACUGACAGAAGAAAAUAGGAGGUUGCAAAAGGAAUUAGGAGCUUUGAAAAUUUCCAUUUGGAAAAGGGGACUUUGAGGAACUAUCUAAUGUAAUUAAUUAAUUUAUAUAUACAGAGAGAGAGAGAGAGAAUAUAGUUUGGAGGUUUAUUUCAUCCCUCUCUAACGCACUUCAUUGGUUUGGUAUGAUUUCAUUGCUCAUGUCGUUUAAAGAGUCAAGAAUUAAUACUUAAGGAAUCAAAUUCCUCUAUCAAAAUUUUUAAAUAAAAAUUAAUUAAUUACAUUAGAU